CCUACGGGUGGCAGCAGUGGGGAAUAUUGCACAAUGGGGGAAACGCUGAUGCAGCGACGCCGCGUGAGGGAAGAAGUAUUUCGGUGUUUAAAACUCUAUCAGCAGGGAAGAAGAAAGACGGUACCUGACUAAGAAGCCCCGGCUAACUACGUGCCAGCAGCCGCGGUAAGACGUAGGGGGCAAGCGUUAUCCGGAUUUACUGGGGGUAAAGGGAGCGUAGGCGGCUGUGCAAGGCUGAAGGGAAAGCCCAGGGCUCAACCCUGGGACUGCUUUGGAAACUGUGGCGCUAGAGUGCUGGAGGGGUAAGUGGAAUUCCUAGUGUAGCGGUGAAAUGCGUAGAUAUUAGGAGGAACACCAGUGGCGAAGGCGGCUUACUGGACAGUAACUGACGUUGAGGCUCGAAAGCGUGGGGAGCAAACAGGAUUAGAUACCCGGGUAGUC
rnacentral:rRNA from 1 species